GCCAGGCACAGUGGCUUGCCUGUAGUCCCACUACUUGGGAGGCUGAGGUGGGAGGAUUGCUUGAGCCCAAGAGUUCUGGGUUGUAGUGUGCUGUGCCAAUUGGGUGUCCGCACUAAGUUCAGCAUCAAUAUGUUGACCUCCCAGGAGCGGGAGACCACCAGGUUGUCUAAGGAGGGGUGAACCAGCCCAGGUCAGAAACGGAGCAGGUCAAAACUCCUGUGCUGAUCAGUAGUGGGAUCGCACCUGUGAAGAGCCACUGCACUCCAGCCUGGGCAACAUAGUGAGACCCCAUCUCU
rnacentral:SRP_RNA from 1 species